rnacentral:rRNA from 1 species
CCUACGGGAGGCUGCAGUGAGGAAUAUUGGUCAAUGGUCGGGAGACUGAACCAGCCAAGCCGCGUGAGGGAGGAAGGUACAGAGUAUCGUAAACCUCUUUUGUCAGGGAACAAAGGCGGGGACGUGUCCCCGGAUGCGUGUACCUGAAGAAAAAGCAUCGGCUAACUCCGUGCACGCAGCCGCGGUAAUACGGAGGAUGCGAGCGUUAUCCUGAUUUAUUGGGUUUAAAGGGUGCGCAGGCGGUCUGUUAAGUCAUCGGUCAAAGCCAGGGGCUCAGCCCCGGCCCGCCGUUGAGACUGGCAGUCUCGAGUUGGAGAGAAGUAUGCGGAAUGCGCGGUAUAGCGGUGAAAUGCAUAGAUAUCGCGCAGAACUCCGAUUGCGAAGGCAGCAUGCCGGCUCCACACUGACGCUGAGGCACGAAAGCGUGGGUAUCGAACAGGAUUAGAUACCCCAGUAGUC